AGGAGUGAAGGAGGAGGAGGGAGGAGCAUGUUUCUGUACCAUGCUCCCUCGCGGUUCCCAACAUGCUCCUCCCUCCUCCUCCUUCACUCCU